rnacentral:rRNA from 1 species
CAGCACCUCAAGUGGUCAGGAUGAUUAUUGGGCCUAAAGCAUCCGUAGCCUGCUUUGUUAGUUUUCGGUUAAAUCCAUACGCUCAACGUAUGGGCUGCCGGGAAUACUGCAAAGCUAGGGAGUGGGAGAGGUAGACGGUACUCGGUAGGAAGGGGUAAAAUCCUUUGAUCUAUUGAUGACCACCUGUGGCGAAGGCGGUCUACCAGAACACGUCCGGCGGUGAGGGAUGAAAGCUGGGGGAGCAAACCGGAUUAGAUACCCGUGUAGUCC